UACGUAGGGGGCAAGCGUUAUCCGGAUUUACUGGGUGUAAAGGGAGCGUAGACGGCAGUGCAAGUCUGAAGUGAAAGGCGGGGGCUCAACCCCCGGACUGCUUUGGAAACUGUUUGACUGGAGUGCAGGAGAGGUAAGUGGAAUUCCUAGUGUAGCGGUGGAAUGCGUAGAUAUUAGGAGGAACACCAGUGGCGGAGGCGGCUUACUGGACGGUAACUGACGCUGAGGCUCGAAAGCGUGGGGAGCAAACAGG
rnacentral:rRNA from 1 species